rnacentral:rRNA from 1 species
UGGGGAAUUUUGGACAAUGGGCGAAAGCCUGAUCCAGCCAUGCCGCGUGAGUGAAGAAGGCCUUCGGGUUGUAAAGCUCUUUUAGUCGGAAAGAAAGAGUUGCAAUGAAUAAUUGUGAUUUAUGACGGUACCGACAGAAAAAGCACCGGCUAACUACGUGCCAGCAGCCGCGGUAAUACGUUGGGUGCGAGCGUUAAUCGGAAUUACUGGGCGUAAAGGGUGCGCAGGCGGUCUUGCAAGUCAGAUGUGAAAGCCCCGGGCUUAACCUGGGAAUUGCGUUUGAAACUACAAGACUAGAGUGCAGCAGAGGGGAGUGGAAUUCCAUGUGUAGCAGUGAAAUGCGUAGAGAUGUGGAAGAACACCGAUGGCGAAGGCAGCUCCCUGGGUUGACACUGACGCUCAUGCACGAAAGCGUGGGGAGCAAACA